UACGUCCGAAGUUUAAAGAGGAUGAGAACCUCCGAAGGAGGUUUGAGCCGAGCGAAGCGAGACAACGUUGCGUUCGCAACGGCCCGCAGGGGAAUCAUCCUCUCUCGCCGACCA
rnacentral:sRNA from 1 species